rnacentral:lncRNA from 1 species
ACUGGCAUGGGGUAAACCAAAGCACCUUAGCAACUAAUGAACCAAAUCAUCCAAUUGAUCAAGUAAGUAAGAUCGGCGGGAGGAUAUGCCAUUAACUCAUCAUAGGCAAAACUAUCUAGAUGAGUAGCCUACCAAUUAAAAACCACCGAUCGAGACUUGCCUUAGACACCAAAUAAUUUAUUGAUUUCAAUUAGUCAGCUUAGGUAAAUCAGAU